GCAAGCUACAGAUGAACCGUGAUCAAAGGUAUUAUUCUCGGUUAUCAAUCAAAUUGUUAUAUACCCUCAGUACAUUGAAACGUUUCCUGUAGGAAAUCUUCUGGUCCUCCUUCGUUUAGAAAUCAGAAGGCAGAGGGGAGGAAGCUGUUCCUGAAUCAAUUAGUGUGGGUCUUCAGGCUCCUGUACCUCCUCCCUGAUGGUAGCAAUGAGAACAAGGCAUGACCUGGGUGAUGGACGUCCUUAAUGAUGAAAGCUGCAUUUUUGAGGCAUCACUGCUUGAAGAAGUUCUGGAUACUAUGGAGGUUCGUGCCCAUGAUAGAGCCAAGGUUACCCCUUGAAUGAUGUCCUUCCGGUAAGGGGGCGGUGAACUCAGAUGUAACAUCUUCUGCAGGGACAAUCAAACGUGUUAUUUUCUUUUGCAAACUUAUUUUUUUUCUGUUUGUUGGACAUUAAGAAGUUAAAGCACUGCAGGUCCACCCCAUCAGUGAGUUGGUCAUUGGUGGAGAAACUGAAGGAGCUGGAGUUGGUGCGGACGGUGUUGUUGCCUGCGAGAAAGGGAUAUUUUUGCAUGGAGGAGGGGUGCAGUCCAGCAACAAGUGAUUGCCUCUGUCUCUUUUAUUGUGAUUGUAAGAUCCUGUUGGACAUUGGUAAAGUGGAAUACUGCAAGUCCAUUUCACUGGCUCAUUGGUGAAUGGCGAGGUAGCUGCGUGGUCUUGGUCGUAGUGAGAACUAGCUGUUAAGCCACCGUGUUGCCUGCUUUCAGCUGUCCAGGAGAGAGGCACUGAAAUCGGUGCUGGAGACAAUGUGGCAUGGUGUACAUGCUGCAGUGUUGCUGCUGCUCGGCAUUUUCACUCGGCAAAAGACAAGCUGCAUUGUGUUCUACAGGGAUUUGGACUAUAUUUUUUCUGUGACUGUAUUAUACUGCUACCUCAAACACGAGGAAAUCUGCAGAUGUUGGAAUUUCAAGCAACAUACAUAAAAAUUGCUGCUGAAUGCAGCAGGCCAGGCAGCAUCUAUAGGAAGAGGUACAGUCGAUGUUUCAGGCUAAGACCCUUCGUCAGGAUUGACGAAGUGUGUCCUGAAGCUACCUUAUGUGUUUGCUGUAUAAUAUGUGCUAUAUGUGCCUUGUGCUGUGUAUGACUGUUGGUACUGUGUUUUGUACCUUGGCACCAGAGUAACACUGUUUCGUUUGGCUUUAUUCAUAGGUACUCAUGUAUGGUUGAAUGAUAAUUAAACUUAAACAUGCAUUUAUUGUAGCUGUAGUCUCAUUGUGAGAGCACGUGUGUGAGCAUUGGACUAGCUACCUGAAGGUCGUGAGUUCGAGCC